CAGUCGCCGCGGUAAUACGGAGGGUGCAAGCGUUAAUCGGAAUUACUGGGCGUAAAGCGCACGCAGGCGGUCUGACAAGUCAGAUGUGAAAUCCCCGGGCUUAACCUGGGAACUGCAUUUGAAACUGUCAGGCUGGAGUCUUGUAGAGGGGGGUAGAAUUCCAGGUGUAGCGGUGAAAUGCGUAGAGAUCUGGAGGAAUACCGGUGGCGAAGGCGGCCCCCUGGACAAAGACUGACGCUCAGGUGCGAAAGCGUGGGGAGCAAACAGGAUUAGAGACCCGCGUAGUCCCUGUCUCUUAUAC
rnacentral:rRNA from 1 species